rnacentral:rRNA from 1 species
AACGAACGCUGGCGGCAGGCCUAACACAUGCAAGUCGAGCGAGACCUUCGGGUCUAGCGGCGGACGGGUUAGUAACGCGUGGGAACGUGCCCUUCUCUGCGGAAUAGCCACUGGAAACGGUGAGUAAUACCGCAUACGCCCUUCGGGGGAAAGAUUUAUCGGAGAAGGAUCGGCCCGCGUUAGAUUAGAUAGUUGGUGGGGUAACGGCCUACCAAGUCUACGAUCUAUAGCUGGUUUUAGAGGAUGAUCAGCAACACUGGGACUGAGACACGGCCCAGACUCCUACGGGAGGCAGCAGUGGGGAAUCUUAGACAAUGGGCGCAAGCCUGAUCUAGCCACGCCGCGUGUGUGAUGAAGGUCUUAGGAUCGUAAAGCACUUUCGCCAGGGAUGAUAAUGACAGUACCUGGUAAAGAAACCCCGGCUAACUCCGUG